AGUAACACGUGAGUAACCUGCCCCAGAGUGGGGGACAACAGUUGGAAACGAACUGCUAAUACCGCAUAAGCCCACGGAACCGCAUGGUUCAGAGGGAAAAGGAGCAAUUCGCUUUGGGAUGGACUCGCGUCCGAUUAGCUAGAUGGUGAGGUAACGGCCCACCAUGGCGACGAUCGGUAGCCGGACUGAGAGGUUGAUCGGCCACAUUGGGACUGAGACACGGCCCAG
rnacentral:rRNA from 1 species